ensembl:miRNA mdo-mir-7288 mdo-mir-7288
UGUUGGUACUGGCUGUGGUGGACCUGGAAUAGUAGAGGGUCACCACGCCCAAUAUCCAGU